rnacentral:rRNA from 1 species
AUUGAACGCUGGCGGUAGGCCUAACACAUGCAAGUCGAACGCGAAAGUCCUUCGGGAUGAGUAGAGUGGCGGACGGGUGAGUAACGCGUAGGAAUCUAUCCUGUAGUGGGGGAUAACGUUUCGAAAGGAACGCUAAUACCGCAUACGCCCCAAGGGGGAAAGCGGGGAGUCUUCGGACCUCGUGCUAUAGGAGGAGCCUGCGUCGGAUUAGCUAGUUGGUGAGGUAAAGGCUCACCAAGGCGACGAUCCGUAGCUGGUCUGAGAGGAUGAUCAGCCACACCGGAACUGAGACACGGUCCGGACUCCUACGGGAGGCAGCAGUGGGGAAUAUUGCGCAAUGGGCGAAAGCCUGACGCAGCCAUACCGCGUGUGUGAAGAAGG